GGUUAUGUAGUGUAGGGGUUAUCACUCCGGAUUUUGAGUUAUCUUGAAAUCUUCCGGCAACCCCGGUUCGAUCCCGGGCAUGACCU